rnacentral:tRNA from 1 species
GGCCCUAUCGUCUAGGGGUUAGGACAGCAGGUUUUCAAUCUGUUAACCCGGGUUCGAUUCCCGGUAGGGUCACCA